rnacentral:rRNA from 1 species
GGAGGAAAGCAGGGGAUCGUAAGACCUUGCGCUUUUGGAGUGGCCGAUGCCUGAUUAGCUAGUUGGUGGGGUAAGAGCCUACCAAGGCGACGAUCAGUAGUUGGUCUGAGAGGACGACCAGCCACACUGGGACUGAGACACGGCCCAGACUCCUACGGGAGGCAGCAGUGGGGAAUUUUGGACAAUGGGCGAAAGCCUGAUCCAGCAAUGCCGCGUGAGUGAAGAAGGCCUUCGGGUUGUAAAGCUCUUUCAGUCGAGAAGAAAAGGUUGCGACUAAUAAUCGCAACUUAUGACGGUAUCGACAGAAGAAGCACCGGCUAACUACGUGCCAGCAGCCGCGGUAAUACGUAGGGUGCGAGCGUUAAUCGGAAUUACUGGGCGUAAAGGGUGCGCAGGCGGCUCUGUAAGUCAGAUGUGAAAUCCCCGGGCUUAACCUGGGAAUUGCGUUUGAAACUACAAGGCUAGA